AGUCACGUGACUCUCCGAGUCGAAAGUGAAACUGCAUUGGACACGGUUGCCUAUUUCGUUAGUGUUUUAGCGGGUGUUAAUGGAUCCUAAUGAAAACCAAGUUGAUGCGACAAAGAAAGUCGUUCUGUUGAGCAUAAAAGGCAUCGUUGAAGAUCAGUUACCGGGAGAGCCGGUCGACGAGACACUGGGCGGUCUGCUGCCGGAAUGCAGUCAGGAGGAGGAAGCCGUAAACGACGUGGUCUCGCAAAUCAGAAGAGUUGCCAAAGGUUUGGAGAAGGACACACUUCUACAACAUUUCUCCUAAGUGCUGGUCCUACUUCAGCAGACUAGUUUCCUAGGAGGAAUGGCCAGCUUAAAGCAUCUGCGUGGUCAAUUAAUGCACUUCCAGUGGUAAGCCUAGAAGCCUUUAGGAAGAUUGUGGACAAGGUGAUUGCAGAUGGAAUAACCUGGGAAAGCAUCACUGUUCUGCUUUUUGUGUCAGGGAAAUUCAUUGUGAAGUUAAUUAAAGAGCACUUACAGCAGUCACUGCCAGAUAUCCUGGCCUGGAUCUGGGAUUUCUUCCAGAGGAGAAUAUUAUCCUGGAUCGUGCAGCAAGGAGGAUGGGUGAGCUGUCUCUCCUUCUUCGGCGCUUCGGCUGUCCAGUGCUAUGCCAUCCUCUCAGGUGCAUUCCUGUGUGUGCUGUUUGUGAUGUGGAGAGCGGGCAGAUCAAGCUGAUGGAUCACUCACCAAGAGGCCUUAACCUCCUUUUCACCAAGGUCCAAUGUGCAAGUGCAUACAAACAAAAAUAACACAAGAAAAGAGAAAAUGCAGACAAACUGCUGGGCAGCCUUCUUCAGAGAGAAUAUCUGAGUAUUUCUAUUGAACUUAACUGAGUUUGAAAUUUUAUCUAAUCAUGUUUGCAGCAUUAUCAUGGACAGUAAGUAAAGGCACUCCUUUCGUGUGCGUGAUGUACGACGUCAUGCGGGCAGGCAGUGACAUCUGUACAAUCUCUGGUGCUGUACACGCCUGUACUGUGCUCAGACACACUUUCAAAAGCCGACUGACAGAUGUAUGUUGUGUAUUUUUGUAACUGUGCAUCUUUUUAAAUUAAAGACGUGGUACCUCA